CCUGGGUCCUUUCUGCCAGUAGGCGGAGUCACAGGGCAUGAAAAAGCACUGUCUUCCUUCCCAGCUCUCGAAGGCAGCGCGAGGGAUGAGCUAGCUGGGAGCACAGACAUCUGCAGGAAGCCUGGGGUUGUGAUGAGUCAAAGGGAACUCGGAGAUUAAACACCUGGCUCAGCUCCUGACAGCUGUGUGCAUUCUUUCCCCUCCACGGAACUUUUGGCCCUUGCUGGACUGGCCUGGUAACUAACUUCAGGAUGAAGAGAGACGAGGUCUGUGAGGCAGCUUUACAGAUGAUGAAAACUGCAACUCCAGAACCACAUGCCCCGUGUCUUCCAGACAGCAUCAGACAAACCCAGCCAUGCUUUCCACUUCUGCUCAGGCCCACGAGGUGGAGGAGCUGGCCCCGGGGGAAGAGGAGGGCUUUCUGGGACCAAGUUUUCCGGGAGUAGGAGGCAGUAGGAUUUCCAGGUGGGAGGGCUUGGAAGAAGGGCCUGAACGAAGAACUUUGGAUGACUGUGGGACUGUGGAGGAAGGAGUCCCACACCCUGGCCCCUGCUCCCGCCCCGCUAUUGUGGUUUAAGUCUAAUAAGUAGAUGUGGAAGAUACUUGAGCAAGGCAGGGCAGGGUAAAAACCCUGUGUAGGAAGUAGGAAUUUUAGAGUUACUCCUCUGUCUUAAUUUCUUAGGAAUCUAUCCUGUCUGCUUAUCCCUUCUGUUCAGUUUUUGUUAAAUUAACAAUCCAUAUUUAUAACGUAUUGUCUGAACCUCGUAAAAAUCAUUGCAUUUACAUAUGAUGUGUACUCCCAUUAAACUUGCAAAGUUUUAUCCCCGAUAUUCCCUUCAUUUAAGGGUGAAUACUUGAUAGUGGAGGAUGUUGAAAACCAAGUAAGUAUUCUAGGUCAUGUACUGCCCCAUCCAUCCAUCCAUCCAUCCAUCCAUCCAUCCACCCAUCCAUCCAUCCAUCCAUCCAUCUGUUGUGAGCUGAGCUGUCUUUAUACACUUAUGUGUUGAAACCCUCUAGUACCUUAUAUAAUGUAACUGCAUUGGAGACCGUCUUUAAAGGGCUGUUUAAGUUAAAAUGGGGUUGUUAGAGUGAGUCCUGAUUUAAUCUGACUGGCGACCUUACCAAAAGUGGGCAGAGACAAAUGUGCACAAAGCAAGAUCUGAAAGAGGACACAGCAACAAUGUAACCAUUUCCCAGCCAAGAAGAGAGGCCUCAGAAGAAACCAGAUCUUCUGACACCUUCAGUUUUCUUUUUUUAUCUCCACAUCAUUCAAGCCAGUCUGUGGUGUAUGGUUUAGAGAAGCUUGGGCAAAUAUAUAUGGCAUUUAUCCACCCACUGAUCCAUCCACCCGCCCAUCCACCCACCUAUCCAUUAAUCCACCCAUCUACCCAUUCAUCUACAUAUCCAUCUGUAAGUCUGUCCAUCUGUCCAUCCAUCCAUCCAUGAAUGCAUGCAUGCAUCCACCCAUCCAUCCACAUAUCCAUCUAUCUACCCACCCACCCCACCCCAUCCCCCGCCCCCACACACAUACAUACAUUGUUGAGUGUCCCUUAUUAUUCAGGUAAACUGUUAUUCUGGAUAGUUUUGUGUCAACUUGUCACAAGCUAAAGUCAUCUGAGAGGAGAGGAUCACGAUUAAGAAAUGCCUCCGUAAGACUCAGCUGUAGGCAAACUUGUUGUUGUCUCAGUCACUGAUUGAUCGGGGAGGACCCAGCCUAGUGUGGGUGGUACCAUCUCCGGGCUUGUGGUUCUGGGUUCUAUAAGAAAGCAGGCUGAACAGGCAACAUGAAGCGGGACAGUAGAUAGCACCCCUCUAUGGCCUCUGUAUCAGCUCCUGU